GAAGGAGUAACUCAGUGGUUAGAGUGUUAGUUUGUCGAACUAAAAGACGCGGGUUCAAUUCCCGUUUCCUUCG
rnacentral:tRNA from 1 species